UUCCCUUGCUCCUUGCGAUGGAGAUUUGGGAUCUGGCAGAGCCACAAAAAAAGAGGCACUUGACAGAAAUGUUUGUGCAGCUUCUGCGUCCUCAUUGGAAGGCAGCUGAUGUGGAACAAGCAAAUAAGGUGAAACCAGCACUUUCCAAUUCUCCCAGUUGCCCUCCUCCAGAACAAAUAUCUGAGGAAUGAGCAGCUGCCUGGGAGCUUCUGCAGGAGAGGUUCUCCAGGGGGAGCCAGCGCCAUGCUGUAAGAGAGGACCCCAUGGCUAUCCGGGAAGUGGAUCUUCUAGCCCCAGUCAAGCCUUUGCUGACUGCAGCCCUGGCUGACAUCUUCACUGCAAACUCCUGAGACAGCUUGAUCCAGAAGCAUCCAGCUAAGCUGCCCAAAUUCCUCACCAACACAAACUGAUUUGGCUUUGAAUCAUCUCUUCUGGAAAGCCCUUGCCCACCCUGCUGACAAGGCCACUAGAAGGGCCCAUGGUGGAGCUGCUCCUGGAAGGUAGAACAGGAUGCCGUGCUGUCUGUUGACUUUGACACUUCCCUGGGGACUGUGGCCGAGAGCAGCUGUAGAGGCUCCAUCGUCCUGUUUCCAGCAGGGAGCUUCAGCCCCUGGGACCAGCCCCAGAUGAUCCUGUCUACCUGCCCAGAACUGUGUGGACAGACACAGGCAGCCAAGGAUCUAGGGCUGCAGUCCUACCCUGCCAGGUUCCAAUGGAGCAAAGAGGGCUGGGCAUCUUGCCUGUCAUCUAGUCCAGUUCAGGAAUCUGUAGUCUCUGGGGCCAGAGCCCACUGGUGGCCAUGAAAACAUAGGAGAUAUGGUAGGCAGAGUCCAAAGAAAUUGGGUCUAAAUCCAUGGAAUCUCUAAAUGUUACUGGGUUGAAUCGUGUCUCCCCCAAACAACAUGCUCAAGUCUUAACCCCUAGCACUUGGGGGUGUGACAUUAUCUGAAAUAAAAUCAUUGCAAGUGUAAUUUUUUUUUUUGGUACUAGGGAUUGAACCCGGGGGUGCUUAACCACUGCCGCUGAGCCACAUCCCCAGCCUGUUUGAUAUUUUAUUUAGAAACAGGAUCUUGCUAAUUUGCUUAGAGCCUUGCUAAGUUGCUGAGGCUGGCUUUGAACUCAUGACCCUCCUGCCUCAGCCUCCUGAGCCACUGGGUUUACAAGUGUGCACCACCAUGCCCAGCAAUGCAAGUGUAAUUAAGUAAAGGGUCUUGAGAUGAGACCAUCCUGAAUUUAGGGUGCCCCAAACCCAAUGACUAGUAUCUUUUUAAGAGAAAGAAGAUGGAGAUUUGACACCCAGAGCCAAGAAGGCCGUGUGAAGCCAGGUAGUCGGGAGUGGUGCUGCCAAAGCCCAGGAAUAUGGGAGCUGCCGGAAGGUAGACAGGCAAGGAGGGGUUCCCCUAGAGCUUGCUGAGGACGCAGGACCCUGCCAGCACCUUGAUGUUGCACUCGGGCCUCCGGAACCAGGAGAAACGAAUCAUCUGCUGUUUACACUGCCAAAUUCAUGGUAAUUCGAGCUGUAAGUAAGGAACACAGGUGUGGCCUGCAGAGGUCCCAGCAGUUCCCUCUUCUCAGGGGCUCACCCCUAUUCAAGGAGUGACACCAGGAGCACCACCUGGGGCCAGCCCUUCCCCCAUUCCCUUAUUCCCCAACUGGCAAGCAGAAGGCAGCCCCAUUCCCACCAACCCAUGCCAAAGCGUCUCUGCUGCUGAGUUGGGUGAAGGGGAAAAUGCAAAUAGCUUCCUCCUAGCCCAGUAGCUGAAAUGGGCCAUCAGGCCCCUCUCUCCCAAGGCCUGGCCAAAAGUGUGGGGAGCAGAGGGGAACCCAGACCCCUGGGAUAGGGGAAACCUUAAGGGCAACUUCCCCUGGCCUCAGAGCUCCUCCUCAGGCCCUGGGUCCCACAGCAAGAGACCCAGACUGUUCAGGAUCUGCCUGGUUCUCUGGCUUCCAGGGGAGGCACCAGCCUUAUCCUUCCCACAAAGGACUCUCUCCUCCUGAAUCACAGGCACCUGCUCCCACCCUCACACCUUGGGAUUCUUUAUAACUUGUUCCUCCUAGGGAGAUCCCCUAGCCCCUGACUCAUUUAAUCCCCAAACUCACAUAAUUCAGCAGGUUUUAAAUCACCAGUUUGUGCACUGAAACCCAAGAUUCAGAACUUCCCAAGCAAGUACUAGCAUAGGGUAGACCAGCCCCUGGGCCUUUGCUUCCCUCAGUCCCACCAAAUCCACAGCUCUCGGGUGUCAUCUCCCUAGGGAGCUAGCGGGCUUUCCCUUCCCGUUCAGCAACCACCUUAAGUUGUUUUCCUUCUUCUGGUUCACAAGGAACAAAAACAAGUAAUUUUCCCAUAAAAAUAACAAUUAGCAAAG